rnacentral:rRNA from 1 species
GAAACCCAAAAGAUCGAAUGGGGAGAUUCAUCGUCAGCCAUCUCGGCACGUGCGCGUUUCGCGAUGUCGAGAGGUCUCGGCCUCUCGGCACGCGUACGUGUGUUUCGUUGCCGGUUGUCGUCGGCGUGCACUUCUCCCCUAGUAGGACGUCGCGACCCGUUGGGUGUCGGUCUACGGCCCGGGUGGGAGCCUGUCACGCGCAACGCCUCGCGGCGUCGCGUGGCAGACCCCCGGUCGCCCGACCAGCUGCCCGGCGGUACUCGCACGGUAUCGAGCCGCAAAUAUUCGAACUGCGUCCGGCCCGCCGCAAGCUGUGCCAGUGUUUACCCGGAUGUACGGACCUAGCGCCGUCACCGGGCCUGGCCGGCUGUUGGCCGGCGGUGUCCUGGGACCGGCUCUAAAUUUACCGGUUAGCGACGCUACUGCUUUGGGUACUUUCAGGACCCGUCUUGAAACACGGACCAAA